AGCGAACGCUGGCGGCAGGCUUAACACAUGCAAGUCGAGCGGGCCCUUCGGGGUCAGCGGCAGACGGGUGAGUAACACGUGGGAACGUACCCUUUGGUUCGGAAUAACGCUGGGAAACUAGCGCUAAUACCGGAUACGCCCUUUUGGGGAAAGGCUUGCUGCCGAAGGAUCGGCCCGCGUCUGAUUAGCUAGUUGGUGGGGUAAUGGCCUACCAAGGCGACGAUCAGUAGCUGGUCUGAGAGGAUGAUCAGCCACACUGGGACUGAGACACGGCCCAGACUCCUACGGGAGGCAGCAGUGGGGAAUAUUGGACAAUGGGCGCAAGCCUGAUCCAGCCAUGCCGCGUGAGUGAUGAAGGCCUUAGGGUUGUAAAGCUCUUUUGUCCGGGACGAUAAUGGCGGUACCGGAAGAAUAAGCCCCGGCUAACUUCGUG
rnacentral:rRNA from 1 species